UACGUAGGGUGCAAGCGUUGUCCGGAAUUAUUGGGCGUAAAGAGCUCGUAGGCGGUCUGUCACGUCGGACGUGAAAAUCCAGGGCUCAACCCUGGACCUGCGUUCGAUACGGGCAGACUAGAGUUCGGUAGGGGAGAGCGGAACUCCUGGUGUAGCGGUGGAAUGCGCAGAUAUCAGGAGGAACACCGGUGGCGAAGGCGGGUCUCUGGGCAACAACUGACGCUGAGGAGCGGAAAGCGUGGGGAGCGAACAGG
rnacentral:rRNA from 1 species